UACAGAGGUCUCAAGCGUUGUUCGGAUUCAUUGGGCGUAAAGGGUGCGUAGGUGGCGCUGUAAGUCGGGUGUGAAAUUUCGGAGCUUAACUCCGAAACUGCAUUCGAUACUGCGGUGCUUGAGGACUGGAGAGGAGACUGGAAUUUAUGGUGUAGCAGUGAAAUGCGUAGAGAUCAUAAGGAAGACCAGUGGAGAAGGCGGGUCUCGGGACAGUUCCUGACACUGAGGCACGAAGGCCAGGGGAGCAAACGGG
rnacentral:rRNA from 1 species